CUCUGCAGGGCUCCAUAUCUAAGGCAAACAUACAAAAUGAGUCAAAGUGAAAAGUCAACUUUCCCCUAAAGUGUGACUUUUUAAAUUAGUUGAAUUGAUUACAAGGUCAGCAAUAAUGGCGUAUUAACACCACCCUGAUCCAUGCCAUGUGGUGGGCAGAUUUUAAGAGUGUGGGUGAUGGAGGGGAUGGUGAAGUGUGUAGUUGAGUGCAUUGCAGGAGGUGACCCAGAUAUUAUUGAUUCUGAAUGCUGUGAAGGACACUCAAACCCUGACUUGCAGACUUGUUUAGAAAUUUCUCUCUGAAUGCCAGAUCCCAAGUCCACCACUAGAUGUCACCCUGGUCCCACCAAAGUUUCUCACUAACGCACAUCAUCGUUUCAGGGUCCAUGGAAGCCGUGGAGAAGGAAAUCAAAGGCCUGAUUAGCCGCCUCUUGCCCAGAAAGGACAGAGAAGGCAAUGGCACCCCACUCCAGUACUCUUGCCUGGAAAAUCCCAUGGACGGAGGAGCCUGGUUUGCAGAGAGCAAAGCAGCUUGCCCAACCACCGGCCCCUUGAACAAGAGAUACAACUUUUAACAAAAAGGAAUGCUAUUGCAGCAGGAAUGUGCUGCCCAAAGGCAGGGAGAGAUGAGCUCAUGGUGUUUUCAGCAGAAAUCAUCUUUGAAAGCAGAAUACCAGUGCGGUUUUUCUUUCUAUAAUCUGGAGGCCUGAGAGGAUCUCGGGGAAAAUGAAAGCAUCGAUCAAACCCUCUUAAUCCUGAUCCAGCAGCUGUUUCACAGACUGUAACAGUCUCCAGCCAGCCCUUGACACAGGCGAGUUCAAAGACAAUUGCCACGUAAGAGGCACUUUCUGAAAUGACUGCACAAACUCAGCCAGGCCCCCUCAAAGCAGAGUGAAACGUUGAAAAAAGCCACGCCUGAGCAGUCAAAACUAAGCCAACUAAGCUGAGGCUCAGAAGCCAUCGUAGGCCGUUCAAAGGCCAAGAACUAAGAAAAGAGAGACCCCAGCCUCCCGAGGGCCACCUGAGCAGGCCUGCGAUGUCCUAGGGUUCUGCAGCAGGAAGAGAUGGGGUGGAAACUAGAAGCUUCUCUAUAAAAGUCUACUCACAAAUAGGAAUUCAAACUUACAAGCCAUUGUGCCUGG